AGCCCCUUCGUCUAGUGGCCAAGGAUACAGGCCUUUGAAGCCUGGGACCCCAGUUCAAAUCUGGGAGGGGCUA
rnacentral:tRNA from 1 species